AACUGACAUAAUUCCUCCUGUGGGUGAGGCUUAUUCUACAAUGGAUUGUUCUCCAUUUUGAUUCUCUCUCCUUCUUCUCCAAACAUAGUUCCUGGCAUGGCAUGCAGAAGCAGAGUGGCAAAUAAUCACGUAUAAACUUUGAUGGGGAGAUGAAACCAAUUACACUUCCGAUGAGUUCUCAAGCUCUGCUGGAUUGGCCCUGGUUAGGUGCAAGCGAUAUCUGACAGCACAGGGUGAGCAGAGCCAGCAAAUCCAUUUUGGGCUUAAGUUAUGGUAUCCCAGGUGAAAAGCGUUAGCUAACGAAGUCUGCCCCAGCUGUCAGCCCAGAUCUGCGGUAGGCGUCUCCAUCUGGCUCCAUUAAUCUUCUAAUUCGAUUUGGCCUGUCAAGGAAUAUUGUUGCAAACAAGUUUUGCACAUCUUGCAUCAAGAUUCCACCUCCCCUUCGCUCCCCCUCCCCGUGCGUGUGUAUGUGUAUUUAAAAAGAAAAGAGAGAUACAAAGAGGUUGUGAAUGAUGCCUGAAGUUAUGCCAGGGUCAAGGCCUUGUUUAUUGAUUUUUCUAACAUAGCAGAACAGCGUACAAAAGGAAAAGAGACAAAAAAAAACAAAACAAAACCCUUCGGCAGCCUGGUAAAUCUGGCUGUAAGCAGUUAGGCUUCAGCUAGGCUGUCAGAAGACUCCCUGCAGGAACACAAUCCAUGUUGAUUUUACAGAGAAGGUUGUUAUCCACGUUUCACUGCUGAUUUAUUGUUUUUUAACCAGCUCCUUAUGCUAGACUUAAGAAAAGAGUGAUCUUGUGCUUUGCAAGGAGGAGACUUGCUGACUGCUGGUAAAAUGACAAUGCUGAUUACCACCCCAGGAAAGAAAGGGACCCGCAAUGGAGUUCCAAGAGCCAGAGCUGUGCGGGGUUAUGAGCUGCCAUCUGCCGGACCCAGUUGUUGACCACCUGCAAUGUUAGUUUAGGAUUUGUCAGAAUGUAUGAAGGCCGCAGCUAAUGUGAAAGAACAUCAUCGUGUACGUGUCCCUCAUGAGGGCUGAGUAAGUCAGUGCAGCUACAUGCUUGCUGCCGAUCCGGGGGAAGCCAGACUCAGAGUAAGAUGGGUACACUGAAGACAAGUUUGAUAAAGCCCAGCAGAAUUGAAACAGCCGAAUGAGGCCCGCAGCCUACAUCUGCAGAAUUCAUUAGUCCGGCUUGAUUGGCCUCUGUUAAACAAAUAUGGGAUAAGGUUUCAUACUUUUUCUGGGGGAGUGGAGCUAGAGUUUCAGGCUGAUGAUUUAGUCAGGUGUAAGCAUGAAGUUUCCAAUUUAGAGAAAUAAAUCUAAAGUGAUUUUAUUAUCCUCUGUUUUACCCUGACACCCUGCUUCACCCCGACUCCUUGUCAGAAUUCACAUGAUGUGUUUAUAUAGGCCACACUGUAAUUGAUUGGCAUGCAAUAUAACAUG